UAUGUGAUCGUCUCUCGCAUAUCAAUAAGCGGAGGAAAAGAAACUAACAAGGAUUCCCUUAGUAACGGCGAGUGAAGCGGGAAGAGCUCAAAUUUGAAAUCUUCAAGGUUUUACCUUGACGAAUUGUAGUUUAAAGAAGUGUUUUCUGUUGAAGUUUUGGUAAAAGUUCUUUGGGAAUAGGACAUCAUAGAGGGUGAGAAUCCCGUAUUUGACCAUUAUUUUCAGCUGUGUGAUACACUUUCAAAGAGUCGGAUUGUUUGGGAAUGCAGUCCAAAAUGGGUGGUAAAUUUCAUCUAAAGCUAAAUAUUGGCGAGAGACCGAUAGCGAACAAGUACCGUGAGGGAAAGAUGAAAAGAACUUUGAAAAGAGAGUUAAACAGUACGUGAAAUUGUCAAAAGGGAAGCGUUUGACACCAGUGUUGUUUUCUCGAAAAUCAAUUAAAAAGAGUUUAGAUUUUGUUGUGUAUUGACCUUAACAGCUUGCAUUUCAAUUUUCUUGCUUUUUUAAUGCACUUUUCGUUUAACAAGUCAACAUCAGUUUCUUUUGUUGUAGAAAGGUCAUUGGAAGGUGGCUUUCUUUUCGGAGAAAGUGUUUAUAGCCUUUGACUCCUGCAAUCGGAGAGACUGAGGUCUGCAGCGUAGAUCCUUCGGGGUUAGAUACAUUUGUGCUAAGUUAUAGCUUUUUAUAGACAACUUGUUGACUAUGAUUAGUCUUGUAGCUUACUCGCUUAUGCUAUUUUACCUACGCUUAGGAUGUUGAAGAUGUAGCACAUCAU
rnacentral:rRNA from 1 species